GAGGGGGUCGCGGCUGAUUAGCUAGUUGGCGGGGUAACGGCCCACCAAGGCGAAGAUCGGUAUCCGGCCUGAGAGGGCGCACGGACACACUGGAACUGAAACACGGUCCAGACUCCUACGGGAGGCAGCAGUGGGGAAUUUUGCGCAAUGGGGGAAACCCUGACGCAGCAACGCCGCGUGGAGGAUGAAGUCCCUUGGGACGUAAACUCCUUUCGACCCGGACGAUACUGACGGUACGGGUGGAAGAAGCACCGGCUAACUCUGUGCCAGCAGCCGCGGUAAUACAGAGGGUGCGAGCGUUGUUCGGAAUUAUUGGGCGUAAAGGGCGCGUAGGCGGCGUCACAAGUCACCUGUGAAAUCUCCUGGCUCAACUGGGAGCUUGCAGGCGAAACUGUGGUGCUGGAGUGUGGGAGAGGUGCGUGGAAUUCCCGGUGUAGCGGUGAAAUGCGUAGAUAUCGGGAGG
rnacentral:rRNA from 1 species